ACAUUGUUUGAAGUCAUUACACACAGAGGAGCUGAAGCCUGGUGUUGUGCUCCAGCAACUGAGUGAGCAACAUGAUGCUGCAGGAAUGAGAUGGAGAGAAGGAGAUGCUGAUGACAGUACAGGACUUACUAAUUCCCCCCAGAUGUAGAGAAACCACGAGGUAUUUCUGCCCCAGCCAAACCCAGGAGAUCCCUCGGCAUCAUAAGCUUGCUCUCGGCCCAGCAGUGUGUCCUGGCUGUUGUGCAACACUGCUCUCUAUGUGACACCUGUAGCGAGUGGAGUGAGUUGCUACCACUGGGUACUUUGUAAAGCUCUGUGGGAUGCCCGAGGUUGCCAGUGGCUGUACACAAGCAAGAGCUUAAUGUUGCUGGAACACCGCCUGCAAACGAUGGUUGCUAGGAGGAGUUUCACCGGGAUGAGAAACAUAUUGCAAAACUACUUAAAACAGUAUUUUCAGCACCUCCAGAAACUCCCUGAUGGGAUUUCAAAGUCUUUGCUCACUACAGAGAUAUUUACACCCACUCCAGUCCUCCAGAGAAGGAUCAUUUCCUCAGGUUUUGACUGUGCUCAAUAAAAAGAGUACAUGUCUUUUGUUAGUGGAAAAAAAAAAAAAAAAAACAUCGCAAUUUCCCCAGACAAGAAGAGAGUUGCUGUGAUCCUCACCUACUGAACGCUGAUGUGGCUCUAAGCAAUGUCAUAUAGCUUAUCCACCACCAGGGAGCAUUCCCCUCAUCUGUGAAAAAAAACAUGGUUAAUUUUUUCUUCUCCAACCAAAAACUGGUCAAGGACAACUACUUAGAAAAGCACCAAAAUGCAAUUCCUUCUCUCAAUAAAACCUUCCAAGCUACAAAUAUUUGCCCCCCUAAGAUGACUGAAGUUGUGGGGUCCUCAAAAAUUGAAUCUGCACUGCGUGGGUGGGGAAUUGAACCACAAAACUCAGCUCACCUGUGUGGGACUGAGAGCCACAGGUGUUACAAACUCCUUGCACAGUUCCCAGCCCCCUGCAGUCAUCGCUUCUGUAUGUUGCCAUGGGCUGCUCUGAAGCUCCUGUCCUUCACCUGGGGUUUGGCCAGGUGUGACAAUCAGCCAGCAGAGCCGUUAUCUUGCUAAAUCAAUAAAGUGACAAACUUCAAACAGGCCAUUAUAAAUAUUAGCAGAUCAUUGAGAAUUUUUAUGGAUGAGAACAAGGAAAGUUAAUUUUUAGUGAUCUCAGAUCCAAGGAAUCCACUUCUGGAGACAUCUAAUGUCUCAGUGACAGAAGACACAAACCUCUGCCUCUAACAGUCCAGUAUCAUGAUCCAUAUUCCUAACAGAUGAUGGAUGGAGAUGUUGCAAGCUCUUCUGGGGCUCUGGAUGCCGAGCAAAGCCUGUUGUCCUCCAAACCAAACUGCUGCCAGCCAAAGAAAAGUUAUAAGUGGCAAAGCAAAAGCUACUAAAUAAGAAUUUAAUUUAGAUUGAUUAAGAUAGCUAUUACACGUCAAUUCAUUUAAUUACAAAUGGAUUAUUUGGAAUGUGAUUAUUGAAGAUUAACGGCUCCUGCACACAAUAUAAAUACGUAGCUAAUUAUAAAGUCAAGCAGUCAUUAUUAAUAUUUCUAACGAUCAAUUUGUAUUCAAACAACAUAAAAUCACCAAUUCUGUGUCUUCUGCAGUCAUGGUAAUUGGGAAAAGAGGCCAUGAUCUAUGCAGAAAUCAAUGGGCUGCUGAGUGCCUGGCUGAAGGCAGAGCUGUGGAGCUGAGUUUUCCGAGACACACAACAAAACUGGGAGCUGAGAUCAAGCAGAAGGAGUUAUUUUUGUUAUAUUUUGGUUAUAUUUGUUGUUCUUCUGUAAGCACAGCCAGAGAGAGACUAAAUGAAAAGAUCACCAAAAUGCUUGCUGCAGUCGGUAGGUAGACGUGGGUCUAAAAGAGCACAUGCUCUGAGCACAAAGAUGCACUGUAAUACAACACCAAGCUAUCAGACAGGUGAUAGGACGAGCACUCCCUGCGUGGAGAUGAGAUGUUCUCAAUUAGACAUGCCUAAAUGCAAUAGACCUCCACAGAAAGACAGCCCAGUAAUAAUUUCCAUUCUGAAUGUCAGUUGAAAGAGCAGCAAUGAUUUAAUACAGAGCACUGGCAAUUCUGCACACCAUACUGUCUUGCUGCUGGGCCACUGUUAGAAGGGACAGUUUGACCAUACUGGCACGUUCCAUGCAAGCAUUUUGCUUUCAACUUGCUGCCUUCAAGAGGGAGCUAGCAAAUCAGCCCAUUGUCAUAGAGCUGAAAUGCAUCCUCUUGGCUCUGGUUUGACUUUUACAUGCGUGUACAAAUAACAAUUUCUGCAUUGGUUUUAUUAUGCAAAGCAGUGGUGGGUUUUUUUUAAUGUUUCAUUUUUUUAGGUAGGAUAUUUUGAGCAGACUUUUUCGGGACUCAGUGACAGCCUGGGCUCUCUCACGCCACAGUUUAAUGUACAAACAGUGGUUUGCAAUAGGAUGCUCAGUCCAGCACAUAAGCAAGGAAAGGCUUUCCAUUUUGCUGGUAAAUCUGUUCAGCUUCUUCAUCUGGAAAGAGCUGAAUGCAGCAUACAAAAAAGCAGAAUGAUUCCUCGCAGCUGGUUGAGGGGGCUUUUUGCUGCUCCUUGCAGGAACCACUGGGUUUGUGAUGUAGGGAUUUGUGAAUCUUGGUUGUUUUGCAAGAAAAGAAACUUCCCCUAAAAGUUGCCAGCACUUUCGGUUUUAUUCCAAAUCAAGAACUGGCAUCUCCGCAGCUCUAAUUAACAGCGGCUAUUUUUUGCCAUCUCCAGCAGCAAAAACACAACCAUUGCCCCCAUUGCACAGAAAAGAAAAAAAGAAAAAAAGAAAAAAAGAAAAAAAGAAAAAAAAUCACACUGACCUUAAUAUAUUUCUUUUUCCAGUGCAAAAUAAAUGCUGUACU
rnacentral:lncRNA from 7 species